UACGGGGGGGGCAAGCGUUGUUCGGAAUCACUGGGCGUAAAGGGCGCGUAGGCGGCGCGGGCAGUCAACGGUGAAAGCUCGGGGCUCAACCCCGAGUCGGCCGUCGAUACUCCCGUGCUCGAGCACUGUAGAGGCAGGUGGAAUUCCGGGUGUAGCGGUGGAAUGCGUAGAGAUCCGGAAGAACACCGGUGGCGAAGGCGGCCUGCUGGGCAGUGGCUGACGCUGAGGCGCGACAGCGUGGGGAGCAAACAGG
rnacentral:rRNA from 1 species